rnacentral:rRNA from 1 species
UACAGAGACUGCAAGCGUUAUUCGGAUUCACUGGGCGUAAAGGGUGCGCAGGCGGCCAAGGGUGUGAGGCGUGAAAGCCUGGGGCUUAACUCCAGAAUUGCACCUCAAACUACAUGGCUAGAGCAUUGGAGAGGGUAGCAGAAUUCACGGUGUAGCAGUGAAAUGCGUAGAUAUCGUGAGGAAUACCAGAGGCGAAGGCGGCUACCUGGACAAUUGCUGACGCUCAGGCACGAAAGCGUGGGGAGCAAAAGGG